rnacentral:rRNA from 1 species
UACGGAGGGUGCGAGCGUUGUCCGGAAUCACUGGGCGUAAAGGGCGCGUAGGCGGCGCGGGCAGUCAACGGUGAAAGCUUGGGGCUCAACCCCGAGUCGGCCGUCGAUACUCCCGUGCUUGAGCACUGUAGAGGCAGGUGGAAUUCCGGGUGUAGCGGUGGAAUGCGUAGAGAUCCGGAAGAACACCGGUGGCGAGGGCGGCCUGCUGGGCAGUAGCUGACGCUGAUGCGCGACAGCGUGGGGAGCAAACAGG